GUGGGGAAUCUUGCGCAAUGGGCGAAAGCCUGACGCAGCCAUGCCGCGUGAAUGAUGAAGGUCUUAGGAUUGUAAAAUUCUUUCACCGGGGACGAUAAUGACGGUACCCGGAGAAGAAGCUCCGGCUAACUUCGUGCCAGCAGCCGCGGUAAUACGAAGGGGGCGAGCGUUGUCCGGAAUUACUGGGCGUAAAGGGCGCGUAGGCGGCGGGUUAAGUCUGUUGUGAAAUACCUCGGCCCAACCGGGGAAGUGCAAUGGAAACUGGCCUGCUUGAGUACGGUAGAGGCAAGCGGAAGUCCCAGUGUAGCGGUGAAAUGCACAGAGAUUGGGAGGAACACCAGUGGCGAAGGCGGCUUGCUGGGCCGAAACUGACGCUGAGGCGCGAAAGCGUGGGGAGCAAACAGGAUUAGAAACCCUAGUAGUCC
rnacentral:rRNA from 1 species